UAACGAAUAUUGGGCAAUGGGCGAAAGCCUGACCCAGCAAUGCCGCGUGUGCGAAGAAGGCCUUCGGGUUGUAAAGCACUUUUUGAGAGGAUGAGGAAGGACGGUACUCUCAGAAUAAGUCUCGGCUAACUACGUGCCAGCAGCCGCGGUAACACGUAGGAGGCAAACGUUAUCCGGAUUUACUGGGCGUAAAGCGCGUGUAGGUGGUCUGGUAAGUAGAGCGUGAAAGCUCCUGGCUCAACUGGGAGAGGUCGUUCUAAACUGCCGGACUAGAGGAUGGUAGAGGGAGGUGGAAUUCCGGGUGUAGCGGUGGAAUGCGCAGAUAUCCGGAGGAACACCAGUGGCGAAAGCGGCCUCCUGGACCAUUCCUGACACUCAGACGCGAAAGCUAGGGUAGCAAACG
rnacentral:rRNA from 1 species